UCCAAAGUGGAAGCACUGGGUAUAUAUAACAGUUAUCAUAUGCUUGCGUUCUCUUUCUCCUUCGACUCUUAGCAAGUUCACUAUUUGGCAAGUGGGAAAGUUUGUAGACCUUUCGGCACGUAUAUAAAUCUUUCUGACACUGAGAUUGAAAGUGUUUUAACAAUGUUUUGUGUGGCUGGCAACAAAACUUACUAUGGGAAAAAAUUUUCCAUGUUUGGGGAUUUCUCGCUCAAAAUAUUUGGGAAGCUAAAGCUGAAAGAAGAAGAAAAUUCUGCUGGGCAUUGGGUUUGCUGUUGUGGUUCAGCCUCCGAAGAUGAGGAAACUACAAUCAGACUUAUCGUAUUGAACGUCAAUUGUUUCGACUCCAAGCAACGUUUCAUUGACUCAUUAAGAGCUGCUUAUGGAGAAGGAACGUUCUUAUUGGGGCCGCACGUGACGUCAGCUGUCGUCCAUUCGUACGCCUGCUACCUGAAAGAAGACUUCUCCCAACAGGAGAACAAAAGGGUUUUCCAUGAAACGCGUUUCAUGGGAUACCAAGGGAAUAACUACUGGAUUAUUUCCAAUGAUGUGCAUAUUGAGAAUGGUAAAGUGUUAGAUCCAAUUGAUCAUAAGUAUCUAAUAUUGGACAAGUCUUUAAAACCAACCAAUUGCAAAUUAACGAAAGCUUACUGAACGAUUACGCAAAGUUGAAUCGUUCUGUUGCAAGGUUCAUACUACUUUCGCAAUGCUUGGGCCCUAAUAUGGACUCAUUUU